GCCAGGUGUGGUGGCACAUGCCUGUAAUCCCAGCUACUCAGGAGGCUGAGACAGAGGAAUUGCUUAAACCCAGGAGGCGGAGGUUGCAGUGAAACAAGAUCAUGCCAUUGCACUCCAGCCUUGGUGACAGAGAGAGACUCUGUCUCAAAAAAAAAAAAAACUUUUUUUUCUGGCGGGGGUCGGCGGGGCAAAGUCUUGUUCUCUCACCCAGGCUGGAGUGCAAUGGUGUGAUCUCAGCUCACUGAAACUUUUGACUCCUGGAUUCAAGCAAUCCUC
rnacentral:lncRNA from 1 species